rnacentral:rRNA from 1 species
GAUUAACGCUAGCGGUGUGCCUAAGAUAUGCAAGUCGAACGAAGCUGUUUUAACUGGUGCUUGCACCGACUUAAACAACUGAGUGGCGAACGGGUGAGUAACACGUGGGUAACCUGCCCCAAAGCGGGGGAUAACAUUUGGAAACAGAUGCUAAUACCGCAUAACCACAGAAACCACAUGGUUUCUGUGUCAAAGAUGGUUUCGGCUAUCACUUUGGGAUGGACCCGCGGCGUAUUAGCUAGUUGGUAAGGUAAUGGCUUACCAAGGCAAUGAUACGUAGCCGAACUGAGAGGUUGAUCGGCCACAUUGGGACUGGGACACGGCCCAAACUCCUACGGGAGGCAGCAGUAGGGAAUCUUCCACAAUUGACGAAAGUCUGAUGGAGCAACGCCGCGUGAGUGAAGAAGGUUUUCGGAUCGUAAAACUCUGUUGUCAGAGAAGAACGUGUGCGAGAGUAACUGCUCGUGCAGUGACGGUAUCUGGCCAGAAAGCCACGGCUAACUACGUGCCAGCAGCCGCCGUAA